AAGAGUGUAGCUUAGUGGCAGAGAGUGUGCUUAGCAUGCAUGAGGCCUUGGGUUCAACUCCUAGCACCUUCA
rnacentral:tRNA from 1 species